GCCCUCGUAGCUCAGCGGAUAGAGCACCAGGUUCCGAACCUGAAGGCCGGCCGUUCGAAUCGGUCCGGGGGCAC
rnacentral:tRNA from 1 species